AUGUCACCCAAGAAAAAUCCCACCCAACAAAAGCCUCGCCACAGUAGUCGAGUGGACCCAACAUUUCCCCAAUCAUUAUCCAUUCAUAAGGUGCCAGAUGGAUCUAGCAUGCCCCGACCUAUGUCUUCUGAGGAUGAUCAUGGAGAUACCAGUGCUCCUGGAGAUAUCAGGGAUCAAGAAGAUACAAGUUCUACUGAGGAGCAAACAAGGAUGAAGCGCAUCUUGAGAAGAAAUAAGUCGCAAAAAGUUAGAUAUUAUCAUAGCAGACUUGUCAUUUGGGCCGAUUUUGGAUCGUGCAAGGAAAGGGCUGAUUCGAAGACCGUUGCUUUGGCGCAAGGAAAUGGCUGA